rnacentral:miRNA from 1 species
UUAAGUAGUUGUGCCGCAGGUAA